UGGUUUUGGACCCGUGUCUGCCGGUAGAUCCCCCGUCUUUGUGCGGCUGACUACUGGCGCCGUGUCCCGUCGGUUCUGUGGCUUAUGUUACUGUUGCCUUUCAAGCGCUUGCGUGUUGGUACCCGAACUCCGGGUAGUGGUGCUUUGUAUUCGGUUGCCUCGCGGUGGCCGCCUUCGGGUGUGCUGCUGCGGCCAAAUUGCGCUUGUGGCGUUUCCUCGUUGUGCCGGCAUGUUUACUCUGACGGUGCAAUCAAGGCAACCUCGCUCCCGCUGUUGGUCUCGGAUGUUGCCUACGUUUAAGUCUCUUGGCCCAUUUAAGUUGCCUUGACCCGACCCUAAGAAGCUCUCCGAACUGAGAACAACCGGAACAGGUGUGGCCUCUACCUCUCCACAGCUAGUGGUAGGAUUACGCAACAUUCUGUGCCGAUCCUCAAACAAGUAGGAACGAGCUUGGCCAACUCAAUUGCGACAACCGGCCCGGCCGUUGGCUCUGCCUUGACACGCAAGUGGAUGGGUGGACAACUUCCGACGCUGGACGUCAAAGAGGACG
rnacentral:misc_RNA from 1 species